ensembl:lncRNA
ACCAGAGGGGGCAGUCUACCAGACCGACAGGGGGCAGUCUACCAGACCGACAGGGGGGCAGUCUACCAGACCGACAGGGGGCAGUCUACCAGACCGACAGGGGGCAGUCUACCAGACCGACAGGGGGCAGUCUCACAUCAGCAGGAAUUAACCCCAUGCUGACAUCUGAAAUGGCACUCUAUUCCGUAUAUAGUGCACUACUUUAGAUCAGGGCCCUAUAGAACCCUAUUCCCUAUAUAGUGGACUACUUUAGACCAGAGCCCUGUUCCCUAUAUAGUGCACUACUUUAGGGUGCCAUUUCAGAUACACCCAGAUCCUGUUCAGUAGAGGGUGGGGGGGGGUGAAGAGAAUGUUUUAUAACUGAGUGGAAAAGGUACUGCAUGGACUAGUACAACGCGCGUGUUCUCCUGUUUCCAAAUGUUUUGUGUACCGAACAUGAGGGAGUUACUUCAACACUACAGAGCUCGUAACAGUUGGAUGAUCCCCGGCUUACAACAAGUUAAACACGUACAUAAAACCUUCAUAUCUAAACCGUGAUGGGUCUCCGUGAGACUGCAGAGCAUGUUAAAGGACGGACACGUCUCAGACCGUUCACAUGCUGUGGUUGAAUACUUAUCCAGGUGUUGUGAGAUCUGGUAGGGGACAGCAUCAUUCAAAAGGCCAGGUCUGCAUUAAAAAUCAAGUAACCCUCCUCCUCCAAACCGCGAUAAAACAAGAACAGAGCAUUUCAAAAUGUUGAUACUGAAAAGACACUGGACAGAAGGGGGAUGAUACCGCGCUGACAAUAUUACAACAAGCAACAGAUUAAUGGCUGAGAGAAAAAGCCAAAAAAAUAAAAAAAUUGAGAACAGUUUGCACUUUUAAAUGGAUAUUUAACAGAAUUGGUGGCUUACUACCGCCACCCGGUGGCUAUAGGUUGUAAAUGCAGCCUAAGGACAUUAACCCUUUAGUAAUCUGUACCACGUUUAAAGCACAGAGACAGACCACUCCCCCCUACAGCCUUGACCCAUGAGACAGCAUCCUAAAUAGCACACUACUACCUACUAUGUAGUGCACUGCUCUAGAUCAACAGCAUUACAAAGCAAAUGAGGUGCCAUUUCAGGACCACUUGUGUCGUCUUCUUCUAAAAAAGCCUUUAAAAAGAUUUAACACAGACUUAUGAACUAAAAUCAUUAGGUAGCCAGUUGUCAAUGUGACCGUCUUGUCAACACAGCUGUAGGUAGUUCAGUUGAUGUUUCGGCUCAAUCAGGUUGGAGGGGGGGUCAAGCGACAGGAUGAAGAGGGGUGAUGAUGAUGACUAGGUUCUCAGUCGCUGUCGAACCUAAUGGAGUUGACGGACUGGGAGAUGGCUCCUCCGCGGUAGCUUCCCCUCUUCUUCUUGGUCUUCUCGUGACGGAAGGACUUCCCCUUGGUGAAGCGGAGCACGUCAUUGGCCCUCUGGCCCCAGUCUCCAUCCG